CACUUGUUUCACUCCUCUCUUACUGACUCUGUUGCUCUCUGCUCAGCACAGCCUGUUUAUCCACCUGCCCUCUUCUUCUCCUCCUCCAUCAUGAGUCUGAGUCGCACCAAGAGGAUCAGCUCCAGUAGCUCUGUGCGCAGCAGCAGCGGCUCCAGGAGGCUGAGCGGGUUCGGUCCGGUUCAGGGGGGUUUCAGCGGGAUCUCUCUGAGCAGCAGCUCUCUGUACGCCAGUACCAACGGGCAUCACCACGGGCUGGCCUCCCCGCUGGCGUCCCUGUCCGUUAACAAGAGCCUGCUGGCCCCCCUCAACCUGGAGAUCGACCCCAACCUGUCGAUGAGCCGAGCCCACGAGAAGGAGCAGAUCAAGAGCCUCAACAACCGCUUUGCCACCUUCAUAGACAAGGUGCGUUUCCUGGAGCAGCAGAAUAAGAUGCUGGAGACCAAAUACGAGCUGCUGCAGGGUCAGGGGGUGGGCCGCUCCAACGUGGAGCCCCUGUUCGAGGCCUACAUGGCGGGUCUGCGUCGUCAGAUGGACCUGGUCAACAAUGACAAGAUCAAACUGGACGGAGAGCUGAGGAACAUGCAGGGCCUGGUGGAGGACUACAAGCACAAAUACGAGGACGAGAUCAACAAGAGAAACAACCUGGAGAACGACUUUGUUAUCCUAAAGAAGGAUGUAGACUCAGCCUACCUGGUGAAGGCCGAUCUGGAGGAUAAGGUCGGAUCUCUUACUGACGAGAUCAACUUCCUGCGCAACAUCUAUGAGGAGGAGCUGCGUGAGCUGCAGGCGAGCAUCAAAGACACGUCCGUGGUGGUGCAGAUGGACAACAGUCGCAGCCUGAACAUGGAGAAAAUCGUGGCCGAGGUCAAAGCUCAGUACGAAGAGAUCGCAGCCCACAGUCGAGAGGACGCUGAGGCCUGGUACAAGAGCAAAUUCGACCAGAUGUCCGAUCAGGCGAGUCGGUUUGGAGACGAGCUCCGCAACGUGAAGGGAGAGGUCGCAGAGGUCAACAGGCUGAUCAGUCGACUGCAGAGCGAGAUCGAGGCCGUCAAAGCUCAGCGUGGCGGUCUGGAGAACCAGCUGGCUGAGGCUGAGGAGCGUGGAGAGCUCACUGUGAAAGAAGCCAAAGCACGGACCAGAGACCUGGAGGACGCCCUGCAGAGAGCCAAACAGGACAUGGCCCGGCAGCUCAGAGAGUACCAGGACUUGAUGAACCUGAAACUGGCUCUGGAUAUUGAGAUCGCCACCUACAGGAAGCUGCUGGAGGGGGAGGAGGACAGAAUUGGGCAUCAGUCCAUCCUCAACAUCCAGGCCGUCUCCAACUACAGUACAAAGAGUUCCAACGGUUACCACAGCAACAGCAGCUCUCCGGCUCCCAAACUGCUGAUCAAGACGACAGAGACCCGAGACGUCAGCAGAUACAGCUCUCACUGAGACCAUCACACAACAUGCAUGCUGCUUCAUACAUACAAUUAUCUAAAGAUCACAUUUUCUACCUUUAGUACUCCUCUUCAGUUUCCUGCAUUUCUUUAACGUCACAGAUUUAAUUUUUUAUCAGCAUGCUAUUCAAACUCUCAUAAAGGAUUAAAAUACUCGUAAAUAUAAACAUAAACACCCCACAUAGAAACACAGAUUCAUUGACUUUAAGGUGUCUCGAUGUGUGACGGGGGGCGGGGACAUUUAGUGAUCUGUAUUUUCUAACUGUAGAAAUAUUAAAACAUGAAUUAUAAUCAUAGAGAAACUUCAAUAUGGAGGAACUAUUUCUGGGAAUGUCUUUACAUAUGUUGCUCUUUUAUUGAGAUUUUAUUUUUUCUGUCCUUAAAUCUUCAACGCUCCGUUCUUUCUAACAAACACUGAAUUAAAUUAGAGGAUAGAUUAUUUAGUUAGCUCUCUUAAAGGCAGGGUUGGUAAUUUCCUCCAGAUCUUCAGAUUGAAAUUGUCUUUAGGUCCUGACAGAAAUUAAUAACUCAUGUUCUCUGAAAAAGGAACAAAGAAAAUCCGUCAUCUGCAGCAGUUGUAAGCCUGUAAAAACUUCAACCAAUGUCUGCCACGAGGUACCAAUCUGAUGAACCAAUCACACGCCUCCCUGUCUCCCUGAUCGCUCUCUACCUCUUGCGUGCUCUAGCUCAAACUCAAAGCACGUCACCGAUGACUUCAGGAGUUUAUUCUGAGAGUUUACAGUUUACUUAUGAGGGACCACAGAGGGGAGGGGGUGCAGACAGGGCACAGAGGGAAUGCUACUUUCAAAAUCAUGCUUGUUUUUUAAAUUACCAACCCUGCCUUUAAUCUGUGUGAAGAUAAUAAAGCAUAAAUGAAAUCAUUGUUUGGAAAGUGAUUUGGGUUUUUUCUGCUCAAGGUGUGUUUCAUUAACGCUGCAUGUUGAAUCCAACGCUGUGCAGUGUAUGGUAGGGUCAACUAUCUUUAAUCGACACGUUGUCUCCGGGUUUCAUUUUGUGUGUUAUGUUAUGGCUUCUGCUUUGAAUAAAUUUAAAAAGAACAACAAAGCUGUGGAGUGUUUUUUUUUCUACCUC